AGAAUGUCCUCAAAUGAUCUGGAGUGUUUGUUGACAUUAAUAGCGCCCGUCAUAUCAAAACGAGACACAAAGUUCCGUACUGCUAUUUCAGCAAAGGAACGUUUGCUUGUCACUCUACGAUUUAUAGCUACAGGAGACUCAUACAAGUCCCUGAUGUACUUGUUUCGUAUUCCGGUCAGCACGAUUUCUCUGAUCGUACCUGACGUAUGUAGAGCCAUUUUUGACGUAUUGAAAAGGGAAAAUUAUUUGAAGACUCCUGAAACAACAAGCGAGUGGAUGCAGGUGGCAAAGGGGUUUGAAGAGAACUGGAACUUUCCACACUGCAUUGGGGCAUUGGAUGGGAAGCAUAUUGUGAUGCAAGCUCCAAAAGACAGUGGAAGCUAUUAUUAUAAUUAUAAACAUUGCCACAGUGUUGUAUUAUUGGCACUUGUAGAUGCCAGUUACAAGUUGUUA